UGCAUAGGCGGAUUGGCAAGUCAGAAGUGAAAUCCAUGGGCUUAACCCAUGAACUGCUUUUGAAACUGUUAGUCUUGAGUGAAGUAGAGGUAGGCGGAAUUCCCGGUGUAGCGGUGAAAUGCGUAGAGAUCGGGAGGAACACCAGUGGCGAAGGCGGCCUACUGGGCUUUAACUGACGCUGAGGCACGAAAGUGUGGGUAGCAAACA
rnacentral:rRNA from 1 species